rnacentral:lncRNA from 1 species
GGUAUUUGGGACGCCGCCUCUACGUGGCCUGACAAGCAGUGCCAUGUCCGCACCCAGGAUCCGAAGCCUGAGCCGACCACAGCAGAACGCGCGAACUUAACCACUGGGCCACGGAGCCGGCCCCCCUGCUUGAUGAGACUGGAGCUGUUGCCCAGCCCUCUAGAGUUCAUUUGAGUCCAGCUGCUACUAUGUUUCUACUGUGAAGCAAUCUUAGGCUGAGAGUCAGAAGAAUUGCUCUCCCAAGGGAGCGCGUCUGAUGGUGAUCACCACUAGGGAUGAGCAGGAUUUCAUUAUCCAGAACCUGUACGGCAAUUUUGCUUAUUUUAUAGGGCUGUCGGCCCAGAGGGGAAAACGCAUUGGC